UACAGAGGGGGCAAGCGUUGUUCGGAAUUACUGGGCGUAAAGGGCGCGUAGGCGGCCUGUUAAGUCGAACGUGAAAUCCCCGGGCUCAACCCGGGAACUGCGUCCGAUACUGGCAGGCUUGAAUUCGGGAGAGGGAUGCGGAAUUCCAGGUGUAGCGGUGAAAUGCGUAGAUAUCUGGAGGAACACCGGUGGCGAAGGCGGCAUCCUGGACCGAGAUUGACGCUGAGGAGCGAAAGCUAGGGGAGCAAACGGG
rnacentral:rRNA from 1 species